UCCAAUGUGGUGUAGUGGCUAACAUUGCUGUCUUUCAUAACACUGGCCAAAGACACAUACACAGCAGCCCGGGGUUCGAUUCCCCGCAUUGGAA